AGCCGGAUUCCUUAUGCAAUCGGGCCUCUCCAGCAGACAAAUCUUCAGACAAGCUUCUACAUCAUACAAAUUUCAGACGAACUUCUACGAUGGAUAGGCUCCACCAGAUCUCUACUCCGAACUUCUUUCGGACUUUGUCGAUGACCGAGCUUCUCCAACAGUGGGACUUCUACAAUAAGAAGUCUCUAUCCGAGCUUCCACGAUAACUGAUCUUCGAUCGAGCUUCUACAAUAAGCGACCUCCUUUCGGACUCCUACGAGAGCUGGACUCCAUCCAAACUUCUGCUACAGAAUCGUAUCCCAGACUCCUCCAACGUUCGACCUUCCAUAGUAUCCUCA
rnacentral:lncRNA from 1 species